rnacentral:rRNA from 1 species
UACGGGGGGAGCAAGCGUUGUUCGGAUUUACUGGGCGUAAAGGGCGCGUAGGCGGCACCGCAAGUCGAUUGUGAAAUCUCCGGGCUUAACCCGGAAAGGUCAACCGAUACUGCGGGGCUAGAGUGCAGAAGGGGCAAUCGGAAUUCUUGGUGUAGCGGUGAAAUGCGUAGAUAUCAAGAGGAACACCUGAGGUGAAGACGGGUUGCUGGGCUGACACUGACGCUGAGGCGCGAAAGCCGGGGGAGCAAACGGG